rnacentral:tmRNA from 1 species
GGGGCUGCACUGGUUUCGACGUGGGUUCGGACGCGCAGCAGGGCAUGUCGAGGUUCUGUCACCUCGUUAAUCCGCAGAAAAAACCUAACUGCAAACGACGAACGUUUCGCACUCGCCGCUUAAACACCGGUGAGCCUCGCAACAGCAGGCCGAUGGGCUGGGCAAGGGGGUCGCAAGACCUCCCGGCUGCGAGGUAAUUCACAUCGGCUGGCGCUGCGUCGGGCACCUUGACGCGGCGUGAGAUCCAAGGGUGCUGGCUUCCCCUGUAGCGUGCCACUGCGCGACCUGGGCGGCGAGACUCAAAACAGACGGCUACACAUGUAGAACUGCUCGAAGAAGGCUUGCGGACGGGGGUUCAAAUCCCCCCAGCUCCACCA